CGGGAAUAUUGCGCAAUGGAGGAAACUCUGACGCAGUGACGCCGCGUAUAGGAAGAAGGUUUUCGGAUUGUAAACUAUUGUCGUUAGGGAAGAUACAAGACAGUACCUAAGGAGGAAGCUCCGGCUAACUACGUGCCAGCAGCCGCGGUAAUACGUAGGGAGCAAGCGUUAUCCGGAUUUAUUGGGUGUAAAGGGUGCGUAGACGGGAAAGCAAGUUAGUUGUGAAAUCCCUCGGCUUAACUGAGGAACUGCAACUAAAACUACUUUUCUUGAGUGUUGGAGAGGAAAGUGGAAUUCCUAGUGUAGCGGUGAAAUGCGUAGAUAUUAGGAGGAACACCGGUGGCGAAGGCGACUUUCUGGACAAUAACUGACGUUGAGGCACGAAAGUGUGGGGAGCAAACAGGAUUAGAUACCCUGGUAGUCCACACCGUAAACGAUGGAUACUAGGUGUAGGGAACAUUAAGUUUUCUGUGCCGUCGCAAACGCAAUAAGUAUCCCACCUGGGGAGUACGGCCGCAAGGUUGAAACUCAAAGGAAUUGACGGGGGCCCGCACAAGCAGUGGAGUAUGUGGUUUAAUUCGACGCAACGCGAAGAACCUUACCAGGGCUUGACAUACAGAUGAAUAUACUAGAGAUAGUAUAGCUCUUCGGAGCAUCUGUACAGGUGGUGCAUGGUUGUCGUCAGCUCGUGUCGUGAGAUGUUAGGUUAAGUCCUGCAACGAGCGCAACCCCUGUGAUUAGUUGCCAACAGGUAAAGCUGGGAACUCUAAUCAGACUGCCGGUGAUAAAUCGGAGGAAGGUGGGGAUGACGUCAAAUCAUCAUGCCCUUUAUGUCCUGGGCUACACACGUACUACAAUGGCUGUAACAGAGAGAAGCAAAACAGUGAUGUUGAGCAAAACUUUAAAAAGCAGUCUCAGUUCGGAUUGAAGGCUGAAAUUCGCCUUCAUGAAGCCGGAAUUGCUAGUAAUGGCAGGUCAGCAUACUGCCGUGAAUACGUUCCCG
rnacentral:rRNA from 1 species